GGAUAUAGCCAAGCGGUAAGGCAACGGACUUUGACUCCGUCAUUCCGCCGGUUCAAAUCCGGCUAUCC
rnacentral:tRNA from 1 species